rnacentral:rRNA from 1 species
UGGGGAAUUUUGGACAAUGGGGGAAACCCUGAUCCAGCCAUCCCGCGUGUGCGAUGAAGGCCUUCGGGUUGUAAAGCACUUUUGGCAGGAAAGAAACGUCAUGGGUUAAUACCCCGUGAAACUGACGGUACCUGCAGAAUAAGCACCGGCUAACUACGUGCCAGCAGCCGCGGUAAUACGUAGGGUGCAAGCGUUAAUCGGAAUUACUGGGCGUAAAGCGUGCGCAGGCGGUUCGGAAAGAAAGAUGUGAAAUCCCAGAGCUCAACUUGAGAACUGCAUUUUUAACUACCGGGCUAGAGUGUGUCAGAGGGAGGUGGAAUUCCGCGUGUAGCAGUGAAAUGCGUAGAUACGCGGAGGUACACCGAUGGCGAAGGCAGCCUCCUGGGAUAACACUGACGCUCAUGCACGAAAGCGUGGGGAGCAAACAGG